rnacentral:rRNA from 1 species
UCCCCAGUAACGGCGAGCGAACGGGGGAGAGCUCAUAGCCGAAUCCGGCGUUGCAAGACGUCGGAAAUGUGGCGUAUGGGAGGCGGAAUCUUCCGAGCGCGACCGGCGGUACAAGUCCCCAUGAGAGGGGCCUCCCAGAGCGGGUGCUAGGCCCGUACUGCUGCCGGUCCGUGCGCGGAAUGCCGUUCUCCCGGGAGUCGGGUUGCUCGGGAGUGCAGCCCUAAGUGGGUGGUAUACUCCACCUAAAGCUAAAUAAGACCGAGAGACCGAUAGCGAACAAGUACCGUGAGGGAAAGUUGAAAAGCACUUUGAAGAGAGAGUUCAAGAGUACGUGAAACCGUUCAGAGGUAAACGGGUGGGACCUCGAAGUCCGAAGACGGUGGCGGAUUCAGUUCGGCUCGGGGCACCCCCUCUUGGACGUCACCCCUCGACGGGGCCGUCCGAGAGGUAGGGGGCUUCGGGACGGGCGCACUUCCGCUCCCCGUCCGGUAGGGCGUCGCGACCGGUUGGAAGGCUGUCGUAAGGGCGGGCGCCGAAGGUAGCCGCAUUUCCCUCGGGAUUUACGGUGUUACAGCUGUCCGUCCCCGACGGGUCGUCCGACCGUGGUCUUUAGCGUUCCCUUCCAGAAGGAAGCGUCGUUCGGGUCGAGCAUUCGGCGGGCUGGCGUGCCACCCUCAAAGGUGAGCGUCUCCCGAAGGAGGUUUCUGUCUCGAGGCGACGCGGGGAGCUCUAGGUCGCGACGAGUAGGUCGGUUACCCACCCGACCCGUCUUGAAACACGGACCAAGGAGUCUAACGCGUGUGCGAGUUCCCGGGACUUGAAUAGGCCCGUGGGCGCAAUGAAAGUGAAGGGCGGCUUCUGCCGUCCGAGUUGGGAUCCGCCCCUUCGGGGGCGGCGCACCAACGGCCCGUCCGAUGCCGUUCUCGGCAGGGCGGAGCUAGAGCAUACGCUCUGGGACCCGAAAGAUGGUGAACUAUGCCUGGGCAGGACGAGGCCAGAGGAAACUCUGGUGGAGGUCCGUAGCGAUUCUGACGUGCAAAUCGAUCGUCAGACCU